rnacentral:misc_RNA from 1 species
AAAGUCGUAACAAGGUUUUCGUAGGUGAACCUGCGGAAGGAUCAUUAGAGAAUUUAAUGGGAGUCCCUCUUAACCGGAGAAGGCCCAAUUCUACUAUUUUUCAAACCCUAGUGCAUUUGUCCCCUUUUUUUAAUUACCCUUUUAACCCUUUUGCAUUUGAAAAGGUUGCUUGUGUUAAACACAUUUUGAUAAAUGAAAGAAAAACUUUCAGCAAUGGAUCUCUUGGCUCUC